rnacentral:rRNA from 1 species
GACGAACGCUGGCGGCGUGCUUAACACAUGCAAGUCGAACGGUAAGGCCCUUUCGGGGGUACACGAGUGGCGAACGGGUGAGUAACACGUGGGUGAUCUGCCCUGCACUUUGGGAUAAGCCUGGGAAACUGGGUCUAAUACCGGAUAGGACUACGCGAUGCAUGUCGUGUGGUGGAAAGCUGUUGCGGUGUGGGAUGGGCCCGCGGCCUAUCAGCUUGUUGGUGGGGUGAUGGCCUACCAAGGCGACGACGGGUAGCCGGCCUGAGAGGGUGUCCGGCCACACUGGGACUGAGAUACGGCGCAGACUCCUACGGGAGGCAGCAGUGGGGAAUAUUGCACAAUGGGCGCAAGCCUGAUGCAGCGACGCCGCGUGGGGGAUGACGGCCUUCGGGUUGUAAACCCCAUUCAGCACAGACGAAGCGUAAGUGACGGUAGGUGCAGAAGAAGCACCGGCCAACUACGUG